AAGUGGAUUUUCUCUUUGGCGACGGUGAAGCUGAGAAGAAAACAAAAACAGCCCCCAUUAAAUUGAACUCCAUUCGAAGUUGACUAGUGUCUUGAACAGGAUCAGACGUUUCAGAGUCGAGAGCUUUUGACAACAACGGAGAGCCAUGGAAACCACCAGCAGCAGCAGCAAUCAGGUACCGGCUGCUUCAAAGCUCCUUCUCUAUUCCUACUGGCAAAGCUCUUGCUCUUGGCGCGUCCGCUUCGCUCUCAAUCUUAAAGCGCUAUAGGUAGUUAGCUGUAGGCAGGAGAGGAAUCCGUGGGUAUUGAACCCGUACCAAGUUGCAUAGGACUCCCGUACGAGUACAAACCGGUGAGCCUACCAGCUGGAGAGCAGUUCAGUCCAGAGUUCAAGUGUUUGAAUCCUCUUCAUUUUGUUCCGGUGUUGGUCGAUGGGGAUACAGUGGUUUCAGACUCCUUUGCAAUAUUGCUGUAUUUAGGGGACAAAUAUCCUCAGAGACUGUUAUUGCCAGCUGAUCCUCGGCUACAAGCUCUUAAUCUCCAGAAAUCUAAGUUGUAGAUUCAGGAUUUGAAGAAAUAACAACAUAUGUUACUGCCACCAAAAGGAGUUUAUGGUGUUAUGUCAUAGGCUGAAGAAUUUUCUAAUUUUAUAUGCCCUUGGGAGGCUUUCAGAACGCUAAUCAGGUUUGAGCAAAGUGGAAGUAUGCUGGGGCAACUUUGUUGAUAUUGUUAUUAAAUUCCUGUACUAAAUCUCUUUUCCUCUACCUGACGGCAUAACUCUAGGACAGUAUAUAACUAGACUGAUACAUACAAACAAAAUACCAGACAGUAUAACUAGCCUGAUACGUACAAACAAAAUAACAGACAGUAUAUCUAGCCUGAUACAUACAAACAAAAUAACUUCAAAUGAUAAUUUGAAUCCAAAUAACAUCUGUUUACCCAAAAAACUACCAAGCCUACGCGACGUGCAGGCCGAAUAGCUAAUGAGCUAACUACGUCCUUUGAUUGAAUGCGGGGCGUGCCAACUCGACGAUAGAGCUCGGUUGGUGAGUGAAUGAAUGUGGUGGUGGUGGUGGUGGUGUCGAAUGUGCUAUUGACUUUUGUCUUGCGAUUGCAGCUGAGGAAAGAACUCGUCUCAGCCUUUGGGUUCUAGAGAAAAGGCUUCUAAUUCCUUCGAAGUUCACGAAUCGUUGACACCGAGCUCAACCGCUGUAAUUAUAUUUGUACAAAUAUAAGUGCGUUGAAUCGGUUCCAGGCUGUACAGACACAAAUACUCAAAAGAGAUAAGUGUCUUGAUUGUAAAUGUGGUUUGGCCGUCAAAGUGCCAAAUUCUAAAUUGUACUUGUGAAUAUCCAAUCAUAAACUAAGUUCAGCUUUCAAUGUGUCGAACGAUGUAACCUAGUAACACUUCACUUCGUCGAGAAGGCUGAUGAAAUGACCUUUUCGAACAAGGACUUAGAGAUUCCUUGUUAACCGAGACUUGGAUAAAUAACUAGUUGAUCUCGAAGCAGUGCUGUUAAGACUAACUGAAGGUACUCCUCAAUUGCCUGAUCUAUGGCUCCAGUGUCGUUAAGACUAAUUGAAGGUGUUGCCGGUUGCCAACCACAGUUUUGUUAAGACUAACUAAAGAUGUGUUUGACGAAGUUAGAAAAGUCAAUGUUUUCUCAGGGAUGAGAGGGUUUCGCGUGGAGUGAGAGUUUUCGCAUGACCUAUUUGUGUGUUGAUUUGAAGAGGCUUUGAACAUUGCAUUCCCUCUUCUAUAGUAGCAACUUUUACCUGAUGCUGAGGUAGAGUCCUACUCGGACUAAAUUUUCUUGGCAUAUCUUGAAUGAAAUAUCAUCUUAUUUGAAUUGAACUCAAUCACUCCUACUGGACUUGGGAGUCUGAACCAGGCCCUUAGAACAUUAAGAAUAUUCUCACGCCAUCCUUAUCUUUGAGGACUCCUGAUUGAACCAGGACUUAGAGUUUUUAUGCUAGUCACCCCGAUUCACAUAAACUGUAGGGUUUUUAAUUAUUUUUGUUUAGGUUAAAAGCUCAGCUGUAUACAAAACCGGAAACAAAAUUGCGGUUUUUAAACCAUUUGUGUAGAGUUUUUAAUAACCUAAAUCAUGUUUUGUUUUUAAUCAUGUUCAUUCAAAGAUAGAUUUAUCAGGUGCUUUUAGGAUUAUAGAGCAUGAUUAUCCGUUAGGUUCAUAUUCUUAGAUUUGAUUCAUGUUUAUCUGAUGUUGUGUAAUUAAAUGUUAGGUCAUACUUAAAAUAUAAUCCACUUCUUCUUCUUCAAAAUAUAAUCCUAAAAGCACCAGAUAAUAAUGACGCUUAUAGGAUUAUCUAAUGUUGUGUAAUUAUUACAUUCUUUAUCGUAGCCAAAUAAUCCUAUAUAUAAUCACUGUUUUUCAAAAAUAAAAAAAAUAAAAAAAAUCACUGUGGGGCUUUUCCAAAAUAUAAUGCAAUAUUUUCGUGCUUUUGGGUUGAUAUUCUUACAGUUCAUAUUCUUAAAGUUUGAUUAUAUUUUGGUAAUCACCUAAUUUGUCAUCACAUAAUAUUGUGAAAUCGAACGCUAAUUUCUAGCAGCAGACAUAUAAAAUGAUGUAAAAAAUGAAUUACCAAUAAAAAUCCAAAUGGGUAAAAAAUUAUUACCUUUGGAGAAAACGGGUGUUUGGCCACUAAGUUGCUGCAACACCUUCAAACAAGAAACAAUUAAAUCAAACAUAACAACAAAUAUAAAUUCCUCUAAUCUAAAAUAGUAGUACAGAAUUUGUGUGAGAUGGGUGGUGAGCGACAAUAAAAAUGAUUUAUUAGGAAAAACUAGAAUUGGCUUAAAUUGAUUUAUCAUUGAUAAUUUGAUUUUGUAAUUUGUAGAAAUCAUUCUACCACCAGGGAUAGAGCUAGAGAUUUGAAUGAAUGGGGGCAUCCUCAAACAACAAAUUGCGGCGAUUAUGCCUCACACUGGCUCCAUUCGUGGCUCUAGAAGAGGUAGCACCGGUUGCUUUCGGAAUCUUGCCACAAACCUUUGGUGAUCGUUCUUGUCGAUGCAAAUUUCCACCGUCUUCAGUCUUGACAAAAAUACACCUACAAAACAAUCUAAACCUUCAAUCAAAGACCAAAAGCCUCACGCGCCCAUGACGAGUGUGGGUGUGGAGGGGGGGUGUUGGCCAAUGGAUUUCCGAUGCCUAAGUUAGUCUCUCUGAAAAAAGUGAGUGUUUAGGGUUUUCUGUGUAUGGAAAAGGCGUCCUGUUGCAGUCAUAUUUAGAAUAGGA